rnacentral:rRNA from 1 species
UACAGAGGUCUCAAGCGUUGUUCGGAUUCAUUGGGCGUAAAGGGUGCGUAGGCGGCGCGGUAAGUCGGGUGUGAAAUCUCGGAGCUUAACUUCGAAACUGCAUUCGAUACUGCCGUGCUUGAGGACUGGAGAGGAGACUGGAAUUUACGGUGUAGCGGUGAAAUGCGUAGAUAUCGUAAGGAAGACCAGUGGCGAAGGCGGGUCUCUGGACAGUUCCUGACGCUGAGGCGCGAAAGCUAGGGGAGCAAACAGG